GGUUUUAUGGUGUAACGGUUAGCACUCCAGAUUCUGAAUCUGGCGAUCUGGGUUCAAAUCCCGGUAAAACCU
rfam:Perkinsus marinus ATCC 50983 gcontig_1104296736572, whole genome shotgun sequence.